rnacentral:rRNA from 1 species
GACGAACGCUGGCGGCGUGCUUAACACAUGCAAGUCGAACGAUGAACCGGAGCUUGCUCCGGGGAUUAGUGGCGAACGGGUGAGUAACACGUGGGCAACCUGCCCCAGACACCGGGAUAACCUUCCGAAAGGAUGGCUAAUACCGGAUAUGACCACUUCGGGCAUCCGACGGGGGUGGAAAGGUUUCUGGUCUGGGAUGGGCCCGCGGCCUAUCAGCUAGUUGGUGGGGUAAUGGCCUACCAAGGCGACGACGGGUAGCCGGCCUGAGAGGGCGACCGGCCACACUGGGACUGAGACACGGCCCAGACUCCUACGGGAGGCAGCAGUGGGGAAUAUUGCGCAAUGGGCGAAAGCCUGACGCAGCGACGCCGCGUGAGAGACGAAGGUCUUCGGAUUGUAAACCUCUUUCAGCAGGGACGAAGCGAAAGUGACUGUACCUGCAGAAGAAGCACCGGCUAACUACGUGCCAGCCGCCGCCGUAACAC